UCAAGGAGCUUCAUACAUCUCUUGCAUUAGUCAACACUCAGCAACUGAAACGUAUUGUUCCAUUUUGUUCUGUGACUUUAUAUUCGUGCUAAAAUCUCGCAAUGGAAACACAAAAACCACCAUCCGAAAAGCCACGUUCAGUUGAUCCAGCCAUGACUUCAUGCAGAAAGAAGAAAUCAGAUGAUGCUGGCUUUUUAGAGGAUCUGAGAGAUCAUAUUGAUGAAUUCAUUCACGCAUCGAUGGAUGAGCACAAGAAUUGCUUUCAGAAGACGAUUAAAAAGGUCAGUGGAGAAAACACAUCACACAACUUGUAUUUUGGAUUGGUAGUACUCUGAGCUUCUUCUGUUGCAUGUUUCAGAUGUUCAGAAUGUCGAGGGCAGUCGCACAGAGAAACGAAGAAAUUAAAGAAGCCGACAGCCUUUUGCCUCUUCAGACAACCGUCAGCCAGGAGUCGUCCUAGUUGCAGCUAACUACUACUGCAACUGAUGUUGAACAAAUAAAUAGCAAGACUUUAAUUUAAACAGUGUUGUUUCUUUCGUGCUACAGGCCAUGAUAUUUGAAUGCUGAGUCCAAACACUUAUCGUUUAAUGUUUUCUUAUUUCUUUUG